UACAGAGGGUGCGAGCGUUAAUCGGAAUUACUGGGCGUAAAGCGCGCGUAGGCGGCUUCGCAAGUCGGGUGUGAAAUCCCCAAGCUCAACUUGGGAACUGCAUUCGAGACUGCGUUGCUAGAGUAUGGGAGAGGGAAGUGGAAUUCAGGUGUAGCGGUGAAAUGCGUAGAUAUCUGAAGGAACAUCAGUGGCGAAAGCGACUCCUGGACCAUACUGACGCUCAUGUGCGAAAGCGUGGGGAGCAAACAGGG
rnacentral:rRNA from 1 species